AUACGGAGGGUCCGAGCGUUAUCCGGAAUCAUUGGGUUUAAAGGGUCCGUAGGCGGGCAGCUCAGUCAGUGGUGAAAGUUUGCAGCUCAACUGUAAAAUUGCCAUUGAUACUGGUUGUCUUGAAUUAAUGUGAAGUGGUUAGAAUAAGUAGUGUAGCGGUGAAAUGCAUAGAUAUUACUUGGAAUACCAAUUGCGAAGGCAGAUCACUAACAUUAUAUUGACGCUGAUGGACGAAAGCGUGGGUAGCAAACAGGAUUAGAAACCCUAGUAGUCC
rnacentral:rRNA from 1 species